rnacentral:rRNA from 1 species
ACGGGGGGAGCAAACGUUGUUCGGAAUCACUGGGCGUAAAGGGCGCGUAGGCGGCUCCGUAAGCGGGUGGUGAAAGCCCGGGGCUCAACCCCGGGUCGGCCGUGGCAACUGUCGAGCUGGAGCACUGUAGAGGCAGGUGGAAUUCCGGGUGUAGCGGUGGAAUGCGUAGAGAUCCGGAAGAACACCGGUGGCGAAGGCAGCCUUCUGGGCCAACACUGACGCUCAUGCACGAAAGCGUGGGGAGCAAACAGGA